rnacentral:rRNA from 1 species
UGACGCAGCAACGCCGUGUGAGGGAUGAAGGCUUUCGGGUCGUAAACCUCUGUCGGAAGGGAAGAACGGGCAUUGGUCUAAUAGGCCUUUGUUUUGACGGUACCUUUAGAGGAAGCACCGGCUAACUCCGUGCCAGCAGCCGCGGUAAUACGGAGGGUGCAAGCGUUAUUCGGAAUUACUGGGCGUAAAGCGCACGUAGGCGGCCUUGUAAGUCAGGGGUGAAAUCCCACGGCUCAACCGUGGAACUGCCUUUGAAACUGCAGGGCUUGAAUCCUGGAGAGGGUGGCGGAAUUCCUGGUGUAGGAGUGAAAUCCGUAGAUAUCAGGAGGAACACCGGUGGCGAAGGCGGCCACCUGGACAGGUAUUGACGCUGAGGUGCGAAAGUGUGGGGAGCAAACAGGAUUAGAUACCCUGGUAGUCCACACCGUAAACGAUGGAUACUAGGUGUCGGGGACUUGAUCUUCGGUGCCGUAGCUAACGCGUUAAGUAUCCCGCCGGGGAGUACGGUCGCAAGGCUGAAACUCA